rnacentral:rRNA from 1 species
UACGGAGAGUGCAAGCGUUGUUCGGAAUUAUUGGGCUUAAAGCGCGUGUAGGCGGGGCGUCAGGUGUCUUGUGAAAGCCCCGGGCUCAACCCGGGAAUUGCAGGGCAAACCGGCGCUCUUGAGGCAGGUAGAGGUGACUGGAACAACUGGUGGAGCGGUGAAAUGCGUAGAUAUCAGUUGGAACGCCAGCGGCGAAAGCGGGUCACUGGGCCUGUCCUGACGCUGAGACGCGAAAGCGUGGGGAGCGAACAGGAUUAGAUACCCCCGUA